rnacentral:rRNA from 1 species
AGCGAACGCUGGCGGCAGGCCUAACACAUGCAAGUCGAACGAACCUUUCGGGGUUAGUGGCGGACGGGUGAGUAACACGUGGGAACGUGCCUUUAGGUUCGGAAUAACUCAGGGAAACUUGUGCUAAUACCGAAUGUGCCCUUCGGGGGAAAGAUUAAUCGCCUUUAGAGCGGCCCGCGUCUGAUUAGCUAGUUGGUUGAGGUAAUGGCUCACCAAGGCGACGAUCAGUAGCUGGUCUGAGAGGAUGAUCAGCCACAUUGGGACUGAGACACGGCCCAAACUCCUACGGGAGGCAGCAGUGGGGAAUCUUGUGCAAUGGGCGAAAGCCUGACGCAGCCAUGCCGCGUGAAUGAUGAAUGUCUUAGGAUUGUAAAAUUCUUUCACCGGGGACGAUAAUGACGGUACCCGGAGAAGAAGCCCCGGCUAACUUCGUG